rnacentral:rRNA from 1 species
GAACGCUGGCGGCAGGCUUAACACAUGCAAGUCGAGCGGGGGAAGGUAGCUUGCUACCGGACCUAGCGGCGGACGGGUGAGUAAUGCUUAGGAAUCUGCCUAUUAGUGGGGGACAACAUCUCGAAAGGGAUGCUAAUACCGCAUACGUCCUACGGGAGAAAGCAGGGGAUCUUCGGACCUUGCGCUAAUAGAUGAGCCUAAGUCGGAUUAGCUAGUUGGUGGGGUAAAGGCCUACCAAGGCGACGAUCUGUAGCGGGUCUGAGAGGAUGAUCCGCCACACUGGGACUGAGACACGGCCCAGACUCCUACGGGAGGCAGCAGUGGGGAAUAUUGGACAAUGGGGGGAACCCUGAU